UGGCCAUAGGUCCCCAAAUGUACCUCCCUUGAGGGGGAAGGAAGGUGAAUCAUAUCCAGGCAGGAUCCUGGCUCGGUCAAUACCCACACGCAAACUUUGCAAAGCCAAGAUUUCGGCACCAACGCUGGCUGGACACGCGUGUGCCACCAGACCCGCUCUGGGACCGCUCUGCAGCCGUGUGCCGGCCCCUGAGCCACUCAGCAGCAGGAUCCAGACCUUCAGGUUCAUCACUGGAGCCCCAUCACGGACCUGGUGGAGUGAGGGAUACCUGCACACACCAGGAGGGGAGAGGGGUGAGGCACGAGCACGCCGAGGGCUUUCACACACCUUCACCCACAGCAGUCGGCGCACGUUCGUCACUCCGGGCCCAGCCAAGGAGGGAUACAAAGUUCAGCUGCAGAGAACAGCAUCCCUGCAUCAAGCGGCUCAGAGCACUGAGAUCAAGAUUUUGGCCCAGAAGACAGUUCCAACUCUAAGUGGCCUCUGAAAUGAUGCAAACAAGAUCUGAUUGCUCACUGCCUGUUAAUGACCCUGCUGCUGUCAGCUCCAUCAGCUCUGUGUAGAGCUCAUUUCUGCUGAGCAAUCACAGCUCAGUGGCUGGAAACCCAGAGAUCAUCAAUUUCAAGAACUGCAAAGGUGAAGCUGGGAGCCACAGCCAGGAGAGCUUGGUGCUGGUGAGAGAGAAAGGGAAAGGGAUGCUUAUACCUGAUGUGCUCACAGAAGGAACAGGGUUUGACCAACAGAAGCAGCAGGAAAAUGACUUCUCCAUCUCCAGAUGUGCAUCAUGUCUAUAACUCACUGACAAUGGUGGGUUUUAACAGGAAGGAGAAGAAUAAAAGCAAGAAUAAACACUCUGAACAAGAUAAUCUGAGUUUGU